CGUCUCCCCACUGGAGAGAGGCUGUAUUCAAUGCAGCCCACCGAAGGAGCAAACCGCAGCGCGUGCCAACCCUGGCCCGGCCCGGUGAAUCUCUCAGGUAAAGCGGACAGCGGGGGCAGC
rnacentral:ncRNA from 2 species